rnacentral:rRNA from 1 species
AUUGUCCCAUAAAUCGAGACUAGUAUGAAUGGCUAAACGAGGUCUUAACUGUCUCUUACAGGCAAUCGGUGAAAUUGAUCUCCCUGUACAAAAGCAGGGAUAAACCCAUAAGACGAGAAGACCCUGUGGAACUUCAAAACCAGCAACCACCUUAAAUCACAUAUCCGCCCACCGGGUUCACUGCCACAUAAGCUUCUGGUCUGCGUUUUUCGGUUGGGGCGACCUUGGAGCAAAACAAAACCUCCAAAAAUUAGACCACACCUCUAGACUGAGAGCAACCCCUCAACGUGCUAAUAGCACCCAGACCCAAUACAAUUGAUCAAUGGACCAAGCUACCCCAGGGAUAACAGCGCAAUCUCCUCCGAGAGUCCGUAUCGACGAGGAGGUUUACGACCUCGAUGUUGGAUCAGGACAUCCUAGUGGUGCAGCCGCUACUAA